rnacentral:piRNA from 1 species
UGGAGACUUCAUAGAUAAACUUGCGGG